AACGAACGCUGGCGGCAGGCUUAACACAUGCGAGUCGAGCGAGACCUUCGGGUCUAGCGGCGGACGGGUGAGUAACGCGUGGGAACGUGCCCUUCUCUACGGAAUAGCCCCGGGAAACUGGGAGUAAUACCGUAUACGCCCUUUGGGGGAAAGAUUUAUCGGAGAAGGAUCGGCCCGCGUUGGAUUAGGUAGUUGGUGGGGUAAUGGCCCACCAAGCCGACGAUCCAUAGCUGGUUUGAGAGGAUGAUCAGCCACACUGGGACUGAGACACGGCCCAGACUCCUACGGGAGGCAGCAGUGGGGAAUCUUAGACAAUGGGGGCAACCCUGAUCUAGCCAUGCCGCGUGAGUGAUGAAGGCCUUAGGGUUGUAAAGCUCUUUCAGCUGGGAAGAUAAUGACGGUACCAGCAGAAGAAGCCCCGGCUAACUCCGUGCCAGCAACCGCCGUAA
rnacentral:rRNA from 1 species